rnacentral:rRNA from 1 species
AUGGUGGCGCAAGAUGGUGGUCGGUUUGGUGGCAGGCUCUGGAGCACCCGAGGUGAAGGUUGGGAUCGGGGGAAACCCCUGUCGGCAUGUCCGACACCGACGCGGCGACGCCGGUGGGUGCCGCCGAACCUUCCUGGAGGGCGUCGGGGGCGACCCUUACUCUCGCCUCGUCGUGUACCGAGGGAAACCCUUGGCAGCAGCGUCGUCUUCGUCGCGGUCCUUCUUGGAGGUGCUGAUUGGUACCGGUGCUUCGGAGCCUUGGAGCUUGGUUGGAGAUCUUCGGUGGGCGCACUGGUCGUGAAGCUUCUGUGUUUCCGUAGAUCCGCCGUUGUCGGCAUUCUUUUCUCUUAUUGUUUCUCUUUCGUUUCUUUUGGGUGUGUUUGUGUUGCUUCCGCCCCAGCACCUAUCUUUGGAUGUAUCGGUUGGUUGCUUUGGAAUACAAAGCGGGGGAAACCCUUUUUCUCGAACUAUUAG